CCUACGGGAGGCAGCAGUGAGGAAUAUUGGUCAAUGGACGAGAGUCUGUACCAGCCAAGUAGCGUGAAGGAUGACUGCCCUAUGGGUUGUAAACUUCUUUUAUAUGGGAAUAAAAUGUUCCACGUGUGGGAUUUUGUAUGUACCAUAUGAAUAAGGAUCGGCUAACUCCGUGCCAGCAGCCGCGGUAAUACGGAGGAUCCGAGCGUUAUCCGGAUUUAUUGGGUUUAAAGGGAGCGUAGGUGGAUUGUUAAGUCAGUUGUGAAAGUUUGCGGUUCAACCGUAAAAUUGCAGUUGAAACUGGCAGUCUUGAGUACAGUAGAGGUGGGCGGAAUUCGUGGUGUAGCGGUGAAAUGCUUAGAUAUCACGAAGAACUCCGAUUGCGAAGGCAGCUCACUGGACUGCAACUGACACUGAGGCUCGAAAGUGUGGGUAUCAAACAGGAUUAGAUACCCCUGUAGUC
rnacentral:rRNA from 1 species